AAGUUUUAGUAUAAGAUAAAUAUGUUUCAUUGUCAAUGAGAGGAUGGGGAAACUUUA
rnacentral:tRNA from 1 species